rnacentral:lncRNA from 1 species
GUUCUUUUAUGCUUAGAAUAAGGUAUCUUUGUAUUGGUUGAUUUAUUAAUUGAUGCAAUCUUGUGUACCAAGCUUUUGGGACCCUCUGGGACCUCCUCAUGCUUCCUUCAGCUCUUUCAUAAGUUCUCUUCCUAUCCUCAUUGUGGUUCUAGCUCUAGGCUGUCCUUGCCCGUACCUUCUCCUUCUCAGUUGAGGUUCCUGGCCCAGACUUUGGAGCAGUAGUUCAUCUCACCUCCCCAUUUCUCUGAGGACCUGGAGACAAGAAGCCUAUUGACUAUUCUUAUAUCAAAGGACAAAGGUUCUAGGAUCUCACGGAGUUCUUAACCUUUGUUCUAGACCAGCACUGUCCAAUAAGUCUUUCUGUGCUGAUGGAAAUGUUCUUAUCUCUGCUGUCCAAUAUGGUAACCACUAGACACAUGUGGCCACUGAGCACUUGAAAUGAGGCUAGUACAGCUGAGGAAUUGAAUUUUAAGAUUUUAAUUAAAUUUAGAAGGAUAUGGUAGCACACACCAGUAAUCCCAGUGACUCAGGAAGCUGAGGCAGGAGGAUCACAAGUUUGAGGCCAGCCUGGGCAACUUAGUAAGACCCUGUCUCAAAGUGAAAAAUAAAAAGUGCUGGGAAUGAUGUUUAGUGGUAGAGUGCCCCUCCAUUCAAUCCCCAGUACCAAUAAUAAUUCAACUUAAAUAGCCAUUCAUGGAUGGUGUAAACCAUAAUGGACAGUGUAGGACAAGACUUUCAGGAUUUGAUAGCCUGGUGGGUAAUGUCAGGACAAUCUAAGAUCAGGUCUGGAAAGAAACACUGGUUGUGUGGGGACACAAAGAACUCCUCCACUUGGGGGUGGGAGUAGGGUCAAGGAAGGUUUUCAGGAACUGCCCCUUUAGCUAAGUUUGAAGACUGAGAAGGAAUUGGCAUGCUAAAGAAGGUCAUUCACUAGAGGGGGCAGCACGUGCAAGGGCCCAGAGGUGUGAGAAAAUACAAGUAUUAGUGGCAUGGCAAGAAAGGGGAGAGUGCAGCUCAGGUGGUAGGCGCAGCAUACAAUGAAGCAUGGAGGCAGAUAGGCCUCCUCUGCUAUGUUGCCAACAGGUUUUCCAACUGGCUUCAGCAGCAGCUAAAGAAAUAUCAGGUGAUAGUUGGACUAUAUAGUAUUUCCACUAUAAAAUUACUAUUUUCCCCUUAUAAUGAAUAUUUUGUGGAGAGAUGCAUUGAGAAUAUGUAAAUAUCCUAUUAUUCCUCAAACUUUUACCCACCAGUUUUAACAUUCACUGAUGAUUCUCCACUGAAACAAUUACUAUGGCUGAGGUUGCCAAAUGGUGAUUUUCAAAUGCCAUCAUUCUUUUCAUGUGUAUUUGUUGGCUUUCCACUAUAAGGUACAACUUUGCCUCCUCCCACAUUUAUUUAUAUCCUCAUGGACUCAUGGCUGUUUUACUCUAUGGGUUAUAUAUAACCCAUUAACAUCAUUCUUUAUUUUAAUGUUCAGAAUGCCCCAGAUCUGGCCAGCAGGAAGCCCUUCAAGUUGGCUCCUGUGUCCUUUGGCAUGUCUCCAUCUUUCUUUGAGCACUUGCCUUUUUUCUGGCACCAAGAGAUGCUUCAGACCUAUCUUAUGUUUUCCCUGCCCCAACUCUGGAAGCAGUCAUUGUGUCCAAGGAGUCCUGAUUCUUUCUAGUAGAGAAUGGCAUUUAGAAAUCAAAGAUUUGGGCAGUAGGUGUUAUAGAAUUUUCUCUAUUACUUUGAAAAAGUUUGAGCAUCCAUUGGUGAUUUUUUUAACCCCAUCAUUCCUUCGGUAUUUAUUAUUAAACAUUCUACUUUUAAAAAG